UGGGAUAUUAAGAUUUGCAAUAAAGCCCAGACCGACUGCUUGCAGGCGAGGCUGGGACUUUAUUAGCAAAUCAAACACACAUGAGCAUGUAGGACGAUAGUCCGGAAUGCGAAUGUGUGUCACGGAUCCGAGAGCACGAAGUGCGGAGGAGCCGUGUUAAUACCCG
rnacentral:sRNA from 10 species